UACCUUGUUACGACUUAGUCCCAAUCGCCAGUCCCACCUUCGACAGCUCCCUCCCACAAGGGGUUAGGCCACCGGCUUCGGGUGUUACCAACUUUCGUGACUUGACGGGCGGUGUGUACGAGGCCCGGGAACGUAUUCACCGCAGCGUCGCUGAUCUGCGAUUACUAGCGACUCCGACUUCAUGGGGUCGAGUUGCAGACCCCAAUCCGAACUGAGACCGGCUUUUUGGGAUUAGCUCCACCUCACAGUAUCGCAACCCUUUGUACCGGCCAUUGUAGCAUGCGUGAAGCCCAAGACAUAAGGGGCAUGAUGAUUUGCCGUCGUCCCCACCUUCCUCCGAGUUGACCCCGGCAGUCUCCUAUGAGUCCCCACCAUCACGUGCUGGCAACAUAGAACGAGGGUUGCGCUCGUUGCGGGACUUAACCCAACAUCUCACGACACGAGCUGACGACAACCAUGCACCACCUGCGAACCGGCCCCAAAGGGGGAACCACAUUUCUGCGGCGGUCCGGUCCAUGUCAAGCCCUGGAAAGGUUCUUCGCGUUGCAUCGAAUUAAUCUGCGUGCUCCGCCGCUUGUGCGGGCCCCCGUCAAUUCCUUUGAGUUUUAGCCUUGCGGCCGUACUCCCCUGGCGGGGCACUUAAUGCGUUAGCUACGGCGCGGAAAACGUGGAAUGUCCCCCACACCUAGUGCCCAACGUUUUACGGCAUGGACUACCAGGGUAUCUAAUCCUGUUCGCUCCCCAUGCUUUCGCUCCUCAGCGUCAGUUAAUGCCCAAAGACCUGCCUUCGCCAUCGGUGUUCCUCCUGAUAUCUGCGCAUUUCACCGCUCCACCAGGAAUUCCAGUCUCCCCUACAUCCUCUAGUCUGCCGUACCCCCCUGCAAAACCGGAGUUGAGCC
rnacentral:rRNA from 1 species